GAAAUGCGAUACGUAGUGUGAAUUGCAGAAUUCAGUGAAUCAUCGAAACCUUGAACGCACCUUGCGCCUGCGGUCACCCGCAGGCAUGCCUGUCUGAGUGUCGUUUAUCCUUCUCACAACCAAAUCCCUCUUGCAACGAUUCGUCUUGCACUUUGGGGAAGGAGGGUGUGGAAUUGGGCGUUUGCCUGCUCCGCGCGCAAUCGCCUCAAAUACAUGGGGGACCUGUUGUGGGCUGCCAACAACCUCGUGCCUCGCAUCUGGGACGUGUUUGAUCGUACGUAGUAUGAAUUUGACCUCCCGGACCUGCAACAAGGGGUGCCGAGGACUGUCAGCCCGCAGCAACCCUGAUGGAACGACUCCCCAUCCAACGGAGCCAAGAACACUCACAACUGCGACCUCA
rnacentral:misc_RNA from 1 species